rnacentral:rRNA from 1 species
GUAGGUGGCAAGCGUUGUCCGGGAAUUAUUGGGGCGUAAAGCGCGCGCAGGCGGUCCUUUAAGUCUGAUGUGAAAGCCCACGGGCUCAACCGUGGAGGGUCAUUGGAAACUGGGGGACUUGAGUGCAGAAGAGAAGAGUGGAAUUCCACGUGUAGCGGUGAAAUGCGUAGAGAUGUGGAGGAACACCAGUGGCGAAGGCGACUCUUUGGUCUGUAACUGACGCUGAGGCGCGAAAGCGUGGGGAGCAAACAGGAUUAGAUACCCUGGUAGUCCACGCCGUAAACGAUGAGUGCUAAGUGUUAGAGGGUUUCCGCCCUUUAGUGCUGCAGCAAACGCAUUAAGCACUCCGCCUGGGGAGUACGGCCGCAAGGCUG